UACAUGAGUGACAAGCGUUAUCCGUAAUAAUUGGGCGUAAAGGAUGCGUAGACUGUAAAAGUAGUUAUAAUUAACUUUAAUGAUUAAUCAGGGUUUAUUAUAAUACCUUUAUACUUUGAGUUUUAUUGAUGUAAAUAACAUUUUUAAACUAGUGAUAAAAUACAGUGAGUUUGGAAUUGUUUUCAAAGGUGAAAACAGGAUACUUUUUAAAACUGACGUUGAUGCAUUAAAGUAUGGUUAUCCAAUAGG
rnacentral:rRNA from 1 species